UUGGUUCUCCCGCAACACUAACUUGUGAACUCGGUCAGGUCCGGAAGGAAGCAGCCGCAGCAGGCGAGGUGUGUGCCGGGAUGUAGCUGG
rnacentral:SRP_RNA from 4 species